UACGGAGGGUGCGAGCGUUGUCCGGAAUCAUUGGGCGUAAAGGGCGCGUAGGUGGCCCGGUGAGUCUUUGGUGAAAGCGCGGGGCUCAACCCUGCGUCGGCCAGGGAUACUGCCGCGGCUCGAGCACUGUAGAGGCAGGGCGGAAUUCCGGGUGUAGCGGUGGAAUGCGUAGAGAUCCGGAAGAACACCGGUGGCGAAGGCGGCCUGCUGGGCAGUGGCUGACGCUGAGGCGGCGACAGCGUGGGGGAGCAAACAGG
rnacentral:rRNA from 1 species